rnacentral:piRNA from 1 species
UNCACAAGUAGUCUUAAAUGCUUCUCUACC